rnacentral:rRNA from 2 species
ACGGGAGGCAGCAGUGGGGAAUAUUGGGCAAUGGGCGCAAGCCUGACCCAGCGACGCCGCGUGAGGGAAGAAGGUCUUCGGAUUGUAAACCUUUGUAGACAGGGACGAAACAAAUGACGGUACCUGUAAAGUAAGCCACGGCUAACUACGUGCCAGCAGCCGCGGUAAUACGUAGGUGGCGAGCGUUAUCCGGAUUUACUGGGUGUAAAGGGUGUGUAGGCGGGGAAGCAAGUCAGAUGUGAAAUGCCGAGGCUUAACUUCGGCCCUGCAUUUGAAACUGCAUCUCUUGAGAGUCGGAGAGGUUAUCGGAAUUCCCAGUGUAGCGGUGAAAUGCGUAGAUAUUGGGAGGAACACCAGUGGCGAAGGCGGAUAACUGGACGACAACUGACGCUGAGACACGAAAGCGUGGGGAGCAAACAGGAUUAGAUACCCUGGUA